UACGUAGGGGGCAAGCGUUGUCCGGAUUUAUUGGGCGUAAAGAGCGUGUAGGCGGUUAUACAGGUCCGCUGUGAAAACUGGAGGCUUAACCUCCAGACGUCGGUGGAAACCGUAUAACUAGAGUCCGGAAGAGGAGAGUGGAAUUCCUGGUGUAGCGGUGAAAUGCGCAGAUAUCAGGAAGAACACCCGUGGCGAAGGCGGCUCUCUGGGACGGUACUGACGCUGAGGCGCGAAAGCUAGGGGAGCAAACAGG
rnacentral:rRNA from 1 species